UUGGAGGGCAAGUCUGGUGCCAGCAGCCGCGGUAAUUCCAGCUCCAAUAGCGUAUAUUAAAGUUGCUGCAGUUAAAAAGCUCGUAGUUGAAUUUCGGGACCAUCAUGUCGGUCGUGCCUCGGUACGUACUGGUAUUGUUGGUUUCUCCCUUCUGACGAACCAUGAUGUCAUUUAUUUGGUGUUGUGGGGAAUCAGGACUGUUACUUUGAAAAAAUUAGAGUGUUUAAAGCAGGCUCACGCUUGAAUACAUUAGCAUGGAAUAAUGAAAUAGGACGUUUGAUUCUAUUUUGUUGGUUUCUAGGAUCGACGUAAUGAUUAAUAGGGAUAGUUGGG
rnacentral:misc_RNA from 1 species